rnacentral:tRNA from 8 species
CCGCCCCUAGCUCAACCGGCAGAGCAAUCGGCUCUUAACCGAGAGGUUCUGGGUUCGACUCCCAGGGGGCGGA